UACAGAGGGUGCAAGCGUUAAUCGGAAUUACUGGGCGUAAAGAGUGCGUAGGUGGUUAGGUAAGUUAGAUGUGAAAUCCCUGGGCUCAACCUAGGAACUGCGUUUAAAACUGCUUAGCUAGAGUAUUGUAGAGGAUAGUGGAAUUUCCAGUGUAGCGGUGAAAUGCGUAGAUAUUGGAAGGAACACCAGUGGCGAAGGCGGGUCUCUGGACAGUUCCUGACACUGAGGCACGAAGGCCAGGGGAGCAAACGGG
rnacentral:rRNA from 1 species